UCUUCUCUCUCCCUUGUCGUCGCUCCUUUCACCCUCUCCCUCGUCGUCGUCAAAAUUCUCCUCCUCGUCGUCGUCGCUCUAAGUCUCUUCUUCUUCCCCUCGUCUCCUUCACCUCAUCAUCGUCAUCCCCUAAGUCUCUUCUCGUUGUCUCUCCCUCUCUCGUCGUCGUUCCUGCUCCCUUCCUCCUCGUCGUGGUCCCCGUGUUCUGCUCGUCGUCGUCGUCCUUGCACUCUUCCUCGUCAUGGUCCCCGCACUCUCCCCUUCGUCGUCGCACCACUCCUCUUCCUUCCUCGUCGUCCCCUUCUUCUCUAACACGCUCGCCACCGCGCCGCCGCUUCUACCUCUACCGCACCACGACCACCACCACACUCCACGCCGAGCACCCUUCACCACGACCACCACGCACCACCUCUACCAGCACCGACCGCCGCUACCACCACUACCACACUACCACUCCCCGCGUGGUGGUGCGACCGGACCGGCACCGCCGCCGGCCUCCACCUCUUCCUCCCACUCCCUCUACCUCUACGGUCCGGACUAACGUUACCUCUACGCCGAUCCCUAAAACUAGGGGAGGGUCUAGAUGUAAAAAUGUGAAAACGGGAGGAAGAAGAGAAGAAAUCGGAGUUCAUCUAGGGAAAGAAGAAAUCAAAACCGGGAGGUAAAGAAAUU
rnacentral:rRNA from 1 species